GAACGCUAGCGGCAGGCUUAACACAUGCAAGUCGAGGGGCAGCGCGAGGUAGCAAUACUUUGGCGGCGACCGGCGCAAGGGUGCGUAACGCGUGAGCAAUCUGCCCGUAUCAGGGGGAUAAGCGAUGGAAACGUCGUCUAAUACCGCAUAACAACUGAAUAGGCAUCUAUUUAGUUUGAAAGCUUCGGUGGAUACGGAUGAGCUCGCGAGACAUUAGUUAGUUGGCGGGUAACGGCCCACCAAGACCGCGAUGUCUAGGGGAACUGAGAGGUUGGUCCCCCACACUGGAACUGAGACACGGUCCAGACUCCUACGGGAGGCAGCAGUGAGGAAUAUUGGACAAUGGCCGGAAGGCUGAUCCAGCCAUGCCGCGUGAAGGAUAAGGUCCUAUGGAUUGUAAACUUCUUUUGUAUGGGAGCAAUAAGGGCGUCGAGACGUCCGAUGAGAGUACCAUACGAAUAAGCAUCGGCUAACUCCGUGCC
rnacentral:rRNA from 1 species